CCUACGGGUGGCAGCAGUAGGGAAUCUUCCACAAUGGACGAACGUCUGAUGGAGCAACGCCGCGUGAGUGAAGAAGGGUUUCGGCUCGUAAAACUCUGUUGGUAGUGAAGAAAGAUCGCGAUAGUAACUGUCCUUUUUUUGACGGUAUUUACUUAGAAAGUCACGGCUAACUACGUGCCAGCAGCCGCGGUAAUACGUAGGUGGCAAGCGUUUUCCGGAUUUAUUGGGCGUAAAGCGAGUGCAGGCGGUUCAUUAAGUCUGAUGUGAAAGCCUUCGGCUCAACCGGAGAAUUGCAGUAGAAACUGUGGAACUUGAGUGCAGAAGAGGAGAGUGGAACUCCAUGUGUAGCGGUGGAAUGCGUAGAGAUAUGGAAGAACACCAGUGGCGAAGGCGGCUCUCUGGUCUGCAACUGACGCUGAGGCUCGAAAGCAUGGGUAGCGAACAGGAUUAGAUACCCGAGUAGUC
rnacentral:rRNA from 1 species